rnacentral:rRNA from 1 species
UACGGAGGGGGCUAGCGUUGUUCGGAAUUACUGGGCGUAAAGCGCACGUAGGCGGCUUUGUAAGUUAGAGGUGAAAGCCCGGGGCUCAACUCCGGAACUGCCUUUAAGACUGCAUCGCUUGAAUCAUGGAGAGGUUAGUGGAAUUCCGAGUGUAGAGGUGAAAUUCGUAGAUAUUCGGAAGAACACCAGUGGCGAAGGCGACUAACUGGACAUGUAUUGACGCUGAGGUGCGAAAGCGUGGGGAGCAAACAGG